GACCUUGGUUUGGGCAGACAAGAAAGGAGAUCUGCAAAUAAGCAGGAACAGAACAAAGAAAAAUGACAAAAGCUCUGACAACGCAUAUGAUAUUUAUGAAGAGCAAUCAGGAGAUGGAAAAACUUCCCAAAGCUGAGCUCGUUGUCAUCGAACAGUUGCAUCACCAUUGAACUCCUUAGACUGUUUUGGGAAGCAAUGCUGGAGGCAAAGAUAACAAUUGGAACCGAAGAGAUUCAAACCAACAUGAAGAUGAAUACACAUUGGAUCAGAAUCAGGGGAAAUGAGUUGAGAGUUGAUGGCUGGGUGAAAGCCAAGGUGUUUGCCACAGAGAUGAGCUUCCGUUCCUUCGUCUGCGCUGCGUUCAGCCGAGCGGCGCGCAGGUCCUGCCGGCACAGGAGGUAACAGCGCUUAUCUUUCUUCGAGCGGGCUCUGAACCUUCGGCUGGAUGCGCCUCACAGCGACUGAGAGCGCGGACUGAGAGUGCGCGUUUAUUUCAGGCCAUUUCAGGGUAAGAUCUCCGUUUACGUGAGCGCGAGCUUUCACGUCUUUACUUUCGUACACGAGCAGUAACUCCGUAAGCGAGGGCUAGCAAAGAAUCCCGUUCCGGCAGCGCGCUGCCGCUCAUCGCGAGCCCUUGGCGCUCGGAGCGCCCCUGGCUGCCCGCGGAGCGAAGGCGGCGGAGGCCGAGCUCCGGGCGACGAUAAAAGCAGCGAGCGCGCCGCGGCGCUCUGGGCCGGGGCUGGGCGUGCGCAGCGCUCCUAGCGGGGCCCGAGCCCUGCUCGGCGGGGGCGGUAAUUUGGAGAGGAUCCCUUGCCGGGCCGGUGCGUGCGCGCUCGUGUGUGUAUGUGUGUGUGUGUCCGUGUGUGUGUCCGUGCGCGUUGGCAGCGGUAAGUGGAGGCUGGGCGGCUCCGACUGCCUGACGCCAGCGCGACCAGAUCAAUCCCGGCGCGGAGGCAGGACGGGCGCGGGGCUCGCCCCCUCUGAGCGCCCGGCGGCC
rnacentral:lncRNA from 1 species